rnacentral:rRNA from 1 species
GAUUAACGCGAAGAACCUUACCUACCCUUGACAUGGUCGGAAUCCUGCUGAGAGGUGGGAGUGCUCGAAAGAGAACCGGCGCACAGGUGCUGCAUGGCUGUCGUCAGCUCGCGUCGUGAGAUGUUGGGUUAAGUCCCGCAACGAGCGCAACCCUUGUCCUUAGUUGCUACGCAAGAGCACUCUAAGGAGACUGCCGGUGACAAGCCGGAGGAAGGUGGGGAUGACGUCAAGUCCUCAUGGCCCUUAUGGGUAGGGCUUCACACGUCAUACAAUGGUCGGAACAGAGGGUUGCCAACCCGCGAGGGGGAGCUAAUCCCAGAAAACCGAUCGUAGUCCGGAUUGCACUCUGCAACUCGAGUGCAUGAAGCUGGAAUCGCUAGUAAUCGCGGAUCAGCAUGCCGCGGUGAAUACGUUCCCGGGCCUUGUACACACCGAAUC